CUCGCUUCGCGCGCGCCCGACUGGCCUGGACAGGGAGCGGCCCGCUCAGUCUUCACGGCCGGCGUCGGGACGGCGCGAGGCCGCGCUCGGGGACCUCAGCGCCUGGCGGCCGCCGCCGUCACCACCAAGGCUGUCACGCUGAGACUUUCUGCCCAAGCUGGGGUGGCCGUGAUAAGACUUCCAGCAGCAGAGUGUGCCAGGGUCCAGCACCUGUUCAAGAUGAGCGACUCCCGGCUGCUCACAGGUCGUGCACCAGCCCACCUCUCCUGCGAGGGAAGUUAAUCUCCACACAGCAGCCUAAGUGCCAGACGAGCCCUCUCCUUCCACUGCCCUGGACGUCGCUAAAAUGAACGGUGCAGAAAAUCACUCCCGGGAUCUGAAAACUCAUCUUUUUCUGCUGCAAUGUGUCUUCUGGUGCCUCCGUGCUCUCCCUCCCAGGGCAGAAGUAGAAAGAGCAUUUUGUAGCCUGACAGCACAGGAAGCAGGGAAGUUCCCUGAAGUGUACUGCAAACCUAAAAACACCCCAACCCCGGCUUUCAUCACCACCUGGAAGACCAGCCUUUGAAGAGAAACAGAAACCCACUCUUAACCCCUGAGAGCCUGGGCUUCCACUGAGAGAACAUGCUGUGGCCUCCCACUCACUGGUCCCUUGAGGGGUCUGAAGCCCAAAAUGGGUCAGUGAUGAGCCGGAAGCCCCACAGCAUCGCGCGGGGAGCCGAGACUCUCCCGGAAGUCCAGGAAUCUGAAACUCCAACGCCUGUGGGAGGCAGACAGGUCUGGGGACAUGCCCAGGAGAAACCCACACACAUGGCCCACGCGUGUGCGAGAUGUUCAUGGCAGCGUCGUCGGUGACGGUGACGGCAUUGCUGACCUACUCAUGGGCUGGCCUGGGAGGAACUUUAUACCUCGUGGGACAGUCACAGAAGAGAAAACUUGACCACAGUUAAAAAUAAAUAAAUCCAACCCUCUAUAUGUUCACGCAGGACUGGUGGUGCCCAGUGCACAGCAGGGGCUCAGGACUGAGGCCACCUCACAUACCACAAUGAGGAAGCCAGCAUCAGACCAGAACUGACUGCAGUCAGAUGCUACGAACUUCAAGUCCCUGUGAACCUCAACAUCAUUUAUCCACUUGGUGUGAAAUCCUUGCAGUAAGAAGGAAUUAGAGGAAUUGGAGGCUUUCGAGGAUAGCUGGAGGCUGCCCAAAGAGGAGUGGAGAAGCUGCUCAGGUGGUUUCAGGAGUUUAUCUGGGGAACAAAGAACGCGACUCACCAGCAAAUCCAAGCUGUUUAUAUGGGUCUGGAUGUUGUGUGCAUCUUCAGCAGGAACUCCCCUGAAGUGCUUAAGCUUGGAACUUCCUGUCUCCCUUAUAACCAUGGCAAAUGGAACCAUCCACUUGACACACUUCUCUAUAUCACACCACUGAUACCCUGCAACCAAAGUAAAUGUUAGGCUCCGUCGA